CCUACGGGGGGCAGCAGUGAGGAAUAUUGGUCAAUGGGCGCGAGCCUGAACCAGCCAAGUAGCGUGAAGGAUGACGGCCCUACGGGUUGUAAACUGCUUUUAUAAAGGAAUAAAGUGAGGCACGUGUGCGUUUUUGUAUGUACUUUAUGAAUAAGGAUCGGCUAACUCCGUGCCAGCAGCCGCGGUAAUACGGAGGAUCCGAGCGUUAUCCGGAUUUAUUGGGUUUAAAGGGAGUGUAGAGGGGUUGUUAAGUCAGUUGUGACAGUUUGCGGCUCAACCGUAAAAUUGCACUUGAUACUGGCAGUCUUGAGUACAGUUGAGGUAGGCGGAAUUCGUCUUGUAGCGGU
rnacentral:rRNA from 1 species